CACGUAGUUAGCCGGGGCUUCUUAGUCAGGUACCGUCAUUAUCUUUCCUGCUGAUAGAGCUUUACAUACCGAGAUACUUCUUCACUCGCGCGGCGUCGCUGCAUCAGGGUUUCCCCCAUUGUGCAAUAUUCCCCACUGCUGCCUCCCGUAGGAGUCUGGGCCGUGUCUCAGUCCCAAUGUGGCCGUUCACCCUCUCAGGCCGGCUACUGAUCGUCGCUUUGGUGGGCCGUUACCCCGCCAACUGGCUAAUCAGACGCGGAUCCAUCGUAUACCACCGGAGUUUUUCACACCGCUCCAUGCGGAGCUGUGCGCUCAUGCGGUAUUAGCACCUAUUUCUAAGUGUUAUCCCCCGGUAUACGGCAGGUUAUCCACGCGUUACUCACCCGUCCGCCACUAACCUGUAUAUCACUAGGUUUCAAUACAGAUCCGUUCGACUUGCAUGUGUUAGGCACGCCGCCAGCGUUCAUCCUGAGCCAGGAUCAAACUCU
rnacentral:rRNA from 1 species